GUGUCAGCCGCCGCGGUAAAACGUAGGUGGCGAGCGUUAUCCGGAUUUACUGGGCGUAAAGAGGGCGCAGGCGGCUUGGUAAGUCAAAUGUGAAAUCUCCCGGCUUAACUGGGAGGGGCCAUUCGAUACUGCUGAGCUAGAGGGCAACAGGGGGAGGUGGAAUUCCCGGUGUAGUGGUGAAAUGCGUAGAUAUCGGGAGGAACACCAGUGGCGAAGGCGGCCUCCUGGGUUGUUACUGACGCUUAAGCCCAAAAGCGUGGGGAGCAAACAGGAUCAGAUACCCUGGUAGUCCACGCCUUAAACUAUGGACACUGGGUAUGGGGAGUAUCGACCCUCUCCGUGCCGAAGCUAACGCGUUAAGUGUCCCGUCUGGGUAGUACGGCCGCAAGGCUAAAACUUAAAGGAAUUGGCGGGG
rnacentral:rRNA from 1 species